GCGUUUGUGGUGUAGCGGUGUCGGUGCACGUUCACACGGUACAGGCCCGGGUUCGAAUCCCGUGUGGUUCA